rnacentral:lncRNA from 1 species
UGCGUCCAAGCAUAACCUUGAGAGUGGUCACUGCUCCAGCUGCUGGGCUCUGUCUACUGUAACUGCUUUAAGAAAGUAAUGGGAUGAGGAAGUUGGAGUGGUGUUCAAAGUCCUAGGUUCUGUAGCCUUCACCCAAUCAAGCUCUUGUCUUCAGUAAGGUUCCUUUUCUCACUCAGAGCAAAGAUCAAUGUUUGCUGUGAAGCUCUUGUGCAGAUUGGCCUGAACCUGCCCAGCCCGGGGAGAGACGUGGAGAACUGAUGUUGGCUCCACGGGAAAGGGAGUUCAGCAUACCACGGGGCCCUAUGGACACACAGGCUCAGAAGUCAGAAGAAUGCAGCACCUGGCCCCACCCCAUGGUACCCAGGUGUCUGGGCUAUUCACACAACGGAACACCCGGAACACCCGUGACCCUGGGAAAGGUGCAGAGCCUGUGAAUAUUUCAUGUCAGGAGCCGGCGGCUGCCGCUCCCGUUCACAUCAUGCCCAAGCUUCCCUCU